rfam:Ictidomys tridecemlineatus contig050543, whole genome shotgun sequence.
GGGGUUGUGGCUGAGUGGUAGAGUGCUUGCCUAGCACGUGUGAGGCCCUGGGUUCAAUCCUCAGCAGCACCU